UUGGAGGGCAAGUCUGGUGCCAGCAGCCGCGGUAAUUCCAGCUCCAAUAGCGUAUAUUAAAGUUGUUGCAGUUAAAAAGCUCGUAGUUGAAUUUCGGGAUCAAUUUAUUGGUCGUGCUAUUGUACGUACUGGUAUUAUUGAUUCCUACCUUCUGACGAACCAUGAUGUCAUUAAUUUGGUGUUAUGGGAAGUUAGGACUGUUACUUUGAAAAAAUUAGAGUGUUUAAAGCAGGCUUUAGCUUGAAUACAUUAGCAUGGAAUAAUGAAAUAGGACGUUCGAACCUAUUUUGUUGGUUUCUAGGAUCAACGUAAUGAUUAAUAGGGAUAGUUGGGGGCAUUAGUAUUCAAUUGUCAGAGGUGAAAUUCCUGGAUUUAUUGAAGACUAACUACUGCGAAAGCAUUUGCCAAGGAUGUUUUCAUUAAUCAAGAACGAAAGUUAGGGGAUCGAAGACGAUCAGAUACCGUCGUAGUCUUAACCAUAAACUAUGCCGACUAGGGAUCGGAUGAUGUUAAUUUUUUAAUGACUCAUUCGGCGCCUUACGGGAAAC
rnacentral:rRNA from 1 species